GAUGAACGCUAGCUACAGGCUUAACACAUGCAAGUCGAGGGGCAGCAUGGAAGAAGCUUGCUUCUUCUGAUGGCGACCGGCGCACGGGUGCGUAACGCGUAUCAAACCUGCCUCAUACUCGGGGAUAGCCUUGCGAAAGUAAGAUUAAUACCCGAUGUUGUUAUGUUUCCGCAUGGUGAUAUAACCAAAGAUUUAUCGGUAUGAGAUGGUGAUGCGUCCGAUUAGGUAGUAGGCGGGGUAACGGCCCACCUAGCCAUCGAUCGGUAGGGGUUCUGAGAGGAAGGUCCCCCACACUGGAACUGAGACACGGUCCAGACUCCUACGGGAGGCAGCAGUGAGGAAUAUUGGUCAAUGGACGGAAGUCUGAACCAGCCAAGUAGCGUGCAGGAUGACGGCCCUCCGGGUUGUAAACUGCUUUUAGUUGGGAAUAAAAAGAGGGACGUGUCCCUAAUUGUAUGUACCUUCAGAAAAAGGACCGGCUAAUUCCGUGCCAGCAGCCGCGGUAAUACGGAAGGUCCAGGCGUUAUCCGGAUUUAUUGGGUUUAAAGGGAGCGUAGGCGGAUUAUUAAGUCAGUGGUGAAAGACGGUGGCUCAACCAUCGUUAGCCAUUGAAACUGGUAGUCUUGAGUGCAGACAGGGAUGCUGGAACUCGUGGUGUAGCGGUGAAAUGCUUAGAUAUCACGAUGAACUCCGAUCGCGAAGGCAGGUGUCCGGGCUGCAACUGACGCUGAGGCUCGAAAGUGUGGGUAUCAAACAGG
rnacentral:rRNA from 1 species